rnacentral:rRNA from 1 species
GACGAACGUUGGCGGCGUGCUUAACACAUGCAAGUCGAACGGAAAGGCCCUGCUUUUGUGGGGUGCUCGAGUGGCGAACGGGUGAGUAACACGUGAGUAACCUGCCCUUGACUUUGGGAUAACUUCAGGAAACUGGGGCUAAUACCGGAUAGGAGCUCCUGCUGCAUGGUGGGGGUUGGAAAGUUUCGGCGGUUGGGGUUGGACUCGCGGCUUAUCAGCUUGUUGGUGGGGUAGUGGCUUACCAAGGCUUUGACGGGUAGCCGGCCUGAGAGGGUGACCGGCCACAUUGGGACUGAGAUACGGCCCAGACUCCUACGGGAGGCAGCAGUGGGGAAUAUUGCACAAUGGGCGGAAGCCUGAUGCAGCAACGCCGCGUGCGGGAUGACGGCCUUCGGGUUGUAAACCGCUUUCGCCUGUGACGAAGCGUGAGUGACGGUAAUGGGUAAAGAAGCACCGGCUAACUACGUGCCAGCAGCCGCGGUGAUACGUAGGGUGCGAGCGUUGUCCGGAUUUAUUGGGCGUAAAGGGCUCGUAGGUGGUUGAUCGCGUCGGAAGUGUAAUCUUGGGGCUUAACCCUGAGCGUGCUUUCGAUACGGGUUGACUUGAGGAAGGUAGGGGAGAAUGGAAUUCCUGGUGGAGCGGUGGAAUGCGCAGAUAUCAGGAGGAACACCAGUGGCGAAGGCGGUUCUCUGGGCCUUUCCUGACGCUGAGGAGCGAAAGCGUGGGGAGCGAACAGGCUUAGAUACCCUGGUAGUCCACGCUGUAAACGGUGGGUACUAGGUGUGGGGUCCAUUCCACGGGUUCCGUGCCGUAGCUAACGCUUUAAGUACCCCGCCUGGGGAGUACGGCCGCAAGGCUAAAACUCAAAGGAAUUGACGGGGCCCCGCACAAGCGGCGGAGCAUGCGGAUUAAUUCGAUGCAACGCGUAGAACCUUACCUGGGUUUGACAUGGAUCGGGAGUGCUCAGAGAUGGGUGUGCCUCUUUUGGGGUCGGUUCACAGGUGGUGCAUGCCUGUCGUCAGCUCGUGUCGUGAGAUGUUGGGUUAAGUCCCGCAACGAGCGCAACCCUUGUUCACUGUUGCCAGCACGUUAUGGUGGGGACUCAGUGGAGACCGCCGGGGUCAACUCGGAGGAAGGUGGGGAUGACGUCAGGUCCUCAUGCCCCUUAUGUCCAGGGCUUCACGCAUGCUACAAUGGCUGGUACAGAGAGUGGCGAGCCUGUGAGGGUGAGCGAAUCUCGGAAAGCCGGUCUCAGUUCGGAUUGGGGUCUGCAACUCGACCUCAUGAAGUCGGAGUCGCUAGUAAUCGCAGAUCAGCAACGCUGCGGUGAAUACGUUCCCGGGGC